CCCCCCCCAAGAUGAGAUUUCCCAACUUCGGUUAUAAGAUCCCUCAGAGAUGAUGAGGUUAAUAGGUUCGAGGUGGAAGCGUGGUGACACGUGGAGCUGUCCUUAGUACGAGAGGACCGGGAUGGACAUACCUCUGGUGUACCAGUUGUCGUGCCAACGGCAUAGCUGGGUAGCUAUGUAUGGACGGGAUAAGUGCUGAAAGCAUCUAAGCAUGAAGCCCCCCCCCAAGAUGAGAUUUCCCAACUUCGGUUAUAAGAUCCCUCAGAGAUGAUGAGGUUAAUAGGUUCGAGGUGGAAGCGUGGUGACACGUGGAGCUG
rnacentral:rRNA from 1 species